ensembl:lncRNA
CACACACAGACACACACACAGACAGGUAGACACACACACACAGACAGGUAGACACACACACACAGACAGGUAGACACACACACAGACAGGUAGACACACACACACACAGACAGGUAGACACACACACACAGACAGGUAGACACACACACACAGACAGGUAGACACACACACACAGACAGGUAGACACACACACACACAGACAGGUAGACACACACACACAGACAGACACACACACACAGACAGGUAGACAGACAGGUAGACACACACACACAGACAGGUAGACACACACACACAGACAGGUAGACACACACACACACACAGACAGACAGGUAGACACACACACAGACAGGUAGACAGAC